UUUUGUAUAAUGGGUCAGCGACUUAUAUUCUGUAGCAAGGUUAACCGAAUAGGGGAGCCGAAGGGAAACCGAGUCUUAACUGGGCGUUAAGUUGCAGGGUAUAGACCCGAAACCCGGUGAUCUAGCCAUGGGCAGGUUGAAGGUUGGGUAACACUAACUGGAGGACCGAACCGACUAAUGUUGAAAAAUUAGCGGAUGACUUGUGGCUGGGGGUGAAAGGCCAAUCAAACCGGGAGAUAGCUGGUUCUCCCCGAAAGCUAUUUAGGUAGCGCCUCGUGAAUUCAUCUCCGGGGGUAGAGCACUGUUUCGGCAAGGGGGUCAUCCCGACUUACCAACCCGAUGCAAACUGCGAAUACCGGAGAAUGUUAUCACGGGAGACACACGGCGGGUGCUAACGUCCGUCGUGAAGAGGGAAACAACCCAGACCGCCAGCUAAGGUCCCAAAGUCAUGGUUAAGUGGGAAACGAUGUGGGAAGGCCCAGACAGCCAGGAUGUUGGCUUAGAAGCAGCCAUCAUUUAAAGAAAGCGUAAUAGCUCACUGGUCGAGUCGGCCUGCGCGGAAGAUGUAACGGGGCUAAACCAUGCACCGAAGCUGCGGCAGCGACGCUUAUGCGUUGUUGGGUAGGGGAGCGUUCUGUAAGCCUGUGAAGGUGUACUGUGAGGUAUGCUGGAGGUAUCAGAAGUGCGAAUGCUGACAUAAGUAACGAUAAAGCGGGUGAAAAGCCCGCUCGCCGGAAGACCAAGGGUUCCUGUCCAACGUUAAUCGGGGCAGGGUGAGUCGACCCCUAAGGCGAGGCCGAAAGGCGUAGUCGAUGGGAAACAGGUUAAUAUUCCUGUACUUGGUGUUACUGCGAAGGGGGGACGGAGAAGGCUAUGUUGGCCGGGCGACGGUUGUCCCGGUUUAAGCGUGUAGGCUGGUUUU
rnacentral:rRNA from 1 species